rnacentral:rRNA from 1 species
CAGUAGCCGCGGUAAUACGAAGGGGGCUAGCGUUGCUCGGAUUUACUGGGCGUAAAGGGCGCGUAGGCGGACAGUUUAGUCAGGGGUGAAAGCCCGGGGCUCAACCUCGGAACUGCCUUUGAUACUGGCUGUCUUGAGUACGGGAGAGGUGAGUGGAACUCCGAGUGUAGAGGUGAAAUUCGUAGAUAUUCGGAAGAACACCAGUGGCGAAGGCGACUCACUGGCCCGUUACUGACGCUGAGGCGCGAAAGCGUGGGGAGCAAACAGGAUUAGAUACCCGUGUAGUCCCUGUCUCUUAUAC